GAUGAACGCUGGCGGCGUGCCUAAUACAUGCAAGUCGAGCGAACGGACGAGAAGCUUGCUUCUCUGAUGUUAGCGGCGGACGGGUGAGUAACAAGUGGAUAACCUACCUAUAAGACUGGGCUAACUUCGGGAAACCGGAGCUAAUACCGGAUGAUAUUUUGAACUGCAUGGUUCAAACGUGAAAGACGGUCUUGCUGCCACUUAUUGAUGGAUCCGCGCCGCAUUAGCUAGUUGGUAAGGUAACGGCUUACUAAGGCAACGAUGCAUAGCCGACCUGAGAGGGUGAUCGGCCACGCUGGAACUGGGACUCGGUCCAGACUCCUACGGGAGGCAGCAGUAGGGAAUCUUCCGCAAGGGGCGAAAGCCUGACGGUGCAACGCCGCGUGAGUGAUGAAGGUCUUCGGAUCGUAGAACUCUGUUAUUAGGGAAGAACAUAUGUGUAAGUAACUGUGCACAUCUUGACGGUACCUAAUCAGAAAGCCACGGCUAACUACGUG
rnacentral:rRNA from 1 species